rnacentral:piRNA from 1 species
UAUCAUUUAUCUCUUAGAUCUAGACUGAA